rnacentral:rRNA from 1 species
AUUGAACGCUGGCGGCAGGCCUAACACAUGCAAGUCGAACGAGUGGCGGACGGGUGAGUAAUGUCUGGGAAACUGCCCGAUGGAGGGGGAUAACUACUGGAAACGGUAGCUAAUACCGCAUACCAUCGGAUGUGCCCAGAUGGGAUUAGCUAGUAGGUGGGGUAACGGCUCCCCGAGGCGACGAUCCCUAGCUGGUCUGAGAGGAUGACCAGCAACACUGGAACUGAGACACGGCCCAGACUCCUACGGGAGGCAGCAGGGGGGAAGAUUGCACAAUGGGCGCAAGCCGGAUGCAGCCAUGCCGCGUGUAUGAAGAAGGCCUGUGGGUUGUAAAGUACUUUCAGCGGGGAGGCGUUACCCGCAGAAGAAGCACCGGCUAACUCCGUGCCAGCAGCCGCGGUAAUUC